UACAGAGGGGGCGAGCGUUGUUCGGAUUUACUGGGCGUAAAGGGCGCGUAGGCGGUCAGCACAAGUCAGUUGUGAAAUCUCCGGGCUUAACUCGGAAAGGUCAACUGAUACUGUGCGACUAGAGUGCAGAAGGGGCAACUGGAAUUCUCGGUGUAGCGGUGAAAUGCGUAGAUAUCGAGAGGAACACCUGCGGCGAAGGCGGGUUGCUGGGCUGACACUGACGCUGAUGCGCGAAAGCCAGGGGAGCGAACGGG
rnacentral:rRNA from 1 species